UACGAAGGGUGCAAGCGUUAAUCGGAAUUACUGGGCGUAAAGGGUGCGUAGGCGGUUGGUUAAGUCUGUUGUGAAAUCCCCGGGCUCAACCUGGGAAUGGCGAUGGAUACUGGACAGCUAGAGUGUGUCAGAGGAUGGUGGAAUUCCCGGUGUAGCGGUGAAAUGCGUAGAGAUCGGGAGGAACAUCCAUGGCGAAGGCAGCUAGCUGGACCAUCACUGACACUGAGGCACGAAAGCGUGGGGAGCAAACAGG
rnacentral:rRNA from 1 species